rnacentral:lncRNA from 1 species
UUCUUCUUUCACAUCUCCAGACAGCUUCAUUGUUAAAACAUCGUUGCAAUACUAAUCAUUCUAGCCUUUGCUUUAGCCUCAUUGAUGAGAGCUAUAGCAACCCUCAUUUUGAUCAGUCUUGGCCACUCUUAGAGUCUUAGGGCCGCAACAAUUCUUCUUUGGAUUGCACUAGUGGAUAUACAUAUCCAAGCAUUUUCAUAUUGUGUGGUCAGCGAUAGCCUGAGACUAGUAAUGCCAGUUUUGGAUGAAUAGUUUACCUCAACAACUGCCAUGGGAACUAUAAAAAUAUAAAAUAGAAACAAUUUAGUUUGAUAGUUUAUACAGUUUAACAAGGAACAUUCUCAUAACAGGUAUAUUUAGGGAGAAAAGCAUAUUACAUAUUUACAUUGCAUAGCAAAAUCCAUGCAAUAGGAAAUAUCAAUUAAACGAUUUUGUAUUUAUGAACUAUAUAUCUUUUUGGUGGGGCUAUGGAAUAUAUUGACAAAACAAUUAGAAUUUUUAUCAAACAUUUCAAUGGAGUUUGUGGAUGAUAUCUAAAAAAAGUCUGAACCAAUUUCCUACCCAAAUGGCUUCACCAUCACUUCUUAUAAAGACGAAAAACGACAUACAUGAAAAAAAUCUGAGCAUUUGAGGUAAUGAUAUCCGUAAACAUUUUGAUUUUGGAGGAGGUGAGAAUGACGUACCCCACCAAAGUUGAAAAAUCUGAGAAUAUAUAUAUAUAUAUAUAUAUAUAGAUUAGAAAUUGAUCGGAUUUGAUUAUGUCAAUAUCCAUAUUAAAUAUAUAUCUAGAUCAAAAUUUUCUUAUUGGACUCAAAUCGGGAAAACAACAAACUUCUAUGACAACUUAUUUAUUCUCCAAUCCAUUGUUUAUACAUUUGAGAUACACACCAACACUCAUCUAAAGUAUUUGAACGAUGUAUGAAAGAAUUUAUCAUCCAAGUUUUUAAUUAAUUAGAAUAUAUGUAGAUCUACUAAUAAAGUAAUAAAUUGGAAUCUAUCUCAGAUCAAAACAUAUAGCAAAAAUUUGCGAACUAUCAAAAAAAAAAAAAAAAAAACCAAAAUAAUUGAAAGUAAAAAUAUUUGUUGGACAAAAGGCUUACCAAUGCUACCAUAGAACUGGGAUUAGACCUGUGACCUCAAAGUUAUUGAACAUAAAAUCACUAAACUCACACCAACCUCCAUGGAUUUAGACGAAAACUAAGAAAUGAAAAAUGGAUUUAGACAAAAAACUAAGAAAUGAAAAACUAUUUACUA